rnacentral:rRNA from 1 species
GCUCGAUGAGUAGGGCGGGACACGUGGUAUCCUGUCUGAAUAUGGGGGGACCAUCCUCCAAGGCUAAAUACUCCUGACUGACCGAUAGUGAACCAGUACCGUGAGGGAAAGGCGAAAAGAACCCCGGCGAGGGGAGUGAAAAAGAACCUGAAACCGUGUACGUACAAGCAGUGGGAGCCCCACCACUAAGCCAGUGGUGAACUCCACAUCCGCAUCCUUUGCUGAGGAUACGGUUAACGGAGCGAAAGCGACGUUCAACCGCAAAACAAGCAGAGGGGGCUUAGUGGUGGGGUGACUGCGUACCUUUUGUAUAAUGGGUCAGCGACUUAUAUUCUGUAGCAAGGUUAACCGUAUAGGGGAGCCGGAGGGAAACCGAGUCUUAACCGGGCGUUAAGUUGCAGGGUAUAGACCCGAAACCCGGUGAUCUAGCCAUGGGCAGGUUGAAGGUUGGGUAACACUAACUGGAGGACCGAACCGACUAAUGUUGAAAAAUUAGCGGAUGACCUGUGGCUGG